GGGAAUACUGGCCUUAACCAGCAGUUCAUUCUUCAGAAUGUUGCCUUUUUGGCUCUGGUUUGUAAAUACAACUAUAAUUUAUCCUUAUUUUGCCCAGCCCCCCAUGAUAAUGGAAUUGGAGCUGGGGCCUUCAUAAAGUGUAUUCUUUUUCCCCACACACACCAUGCUUGGGCUCUAGCAGUGUUCUUCUUUGGUGUAUCUUACAUGAAGGAAAAAGAAUAGGAAAAUGGUCAGGAAGAAGGACAACAUGACACUUCUGUUCAGAUCUGGAUUGCAAGCUCUAAUUCAUUUGAUUAACCAACUAAAGUUGAUUUAUCAGUGCAGCUUAUAGUUACUGGGAUGCAUGUUUAUAGUUCUUUGAUGCUAUUUAGGUUUUGGUGUAUUAGUGUAACAGAAAAUGAAGAAAAAUUUGAAGUUGACCUUCCAACAAUGAGUUUUCCAACACUUGUUUUCAUGAAAUUGUAUUGACACCCAGUACGGUUCCCACUGAAACAUUUUCGUCUUGCUAAAAAGGCACAUUUAGUGAUUGCUUCUCAUGGCAAUACAAUAGGAUUUUGGUAUUUGACUUUCACGCUGAUGUGGCAGUUCUUAAAGAUUGCAUUGGGAAUGUUUCAAUUGCAUCGAGAGAGAAAAUUGUGGAUCAGGAGUUAGCCAGCCUUCCAUGGAGAACAUGCAAGAGUGUAUAUCUCAUUCCCUGGCCCUCAGAUUUUGCCCCUGAAAUGGCUGAAUUACAUUACAUUGGGGCCUUUUCCAGUAUUACGGAAGUAAUAUUGAAAGAAUGCUCUCCCCUGCCAUUCAUUGGCUGACAACCAGACUAAGUUACUCAGUAGUACUAUUCAGGAGUUACUCUACUUAAUUUCAAUGGGAUUUCCAUUGAGUAAUUUAUUGGUUAUGUCAGUAACUGAGUUCCUGUGUCAUUUUUCACUUUUUACUUCAACUGAGCACCUAUUUUUGGCUAUUUAAUUGGUGUUUUAUGAUGUUUUAAUUGUUAAUUAUGA